UACGGAGGGGGCUAGCGUUGUUCGGAAUUACUGGGCGUAAAGCGCACGUAGGCGGCUUUGUAAGUUAGAGGUGAAAGCCCGGGGCUCAACUCCGGAAUUGCCUUUGAGACUGCAUCGCUAGAAUUGUGGAGAGGUAAGUGGAAUUCCGAGUGUAGAGGUGAAAUUCGUAGAUAUUCGGAAGAACACCAGUGGCGAAGGCGACUUACUGGACACAUAUUGACGCUGAGGUGCGAAAGCGUGGGGAGCAAACAGG
rnacentral:rRNA from 1 species